CACAAACUCGUUUCCUUUUCUGUUUUCUUAUCUUCCUCACCCAACUCUGAAAAUCUCACAGAUCCAACCUCAACUCUCACAAUCAAAGACUAAUCCCAACCUCAUCUCAAAAUCAAAACCCAUGUAUCAUAUCUAAAAGAAAACACCUCUUUUCUAACCCUAGAUUUAGAGCAAACUCUCAUCUGAUUUUAGCUCGCUCGUUUCCAGUAUGAGAGGGAGAUGAAGAAUCCUGCAUAUGGAAGCAAAUCUCAUCAUCGAAUCAAGUAUGAUUUCAAAAACUAAUCUAACCGCAUCUUUGAAUCAACACCUAUCUCAGAAUCAGAACCAUAAUCCUUUAGUAUCCCCUAAUUUUUUACCCUAGAUCGCGUUAAUUUUUCUCCUGAAAUCAAAGCAAACCCUCAUCUCAUAUUUGAUAGAGAUGAGAGUAGAAGAAGAAGACUUCACCAUUGCAACAGAUUUUUGUGUUUAGUUGGUGGUGGUGCAUCAUUUGUUAAGGUGUUUGUGAUGAGAAAUAAUUGGAUCUGUUAUGAGAAUGGAUGCUGGUGGUGGUGAUGCAGGUAGAAAUUGGUGGAGAAUUCGACUGAAAUUUGUGGUUAGAGAAGUGAUGGGAAUAAUUUACCUUGCGGUGAGACUCUUUCACGGAGGAAACAAGGACAAAACUACAUGGAAGGAGUAUUGUUGAGUAUUUGGAUAUCAUCUGGGGACAGGGCGCUUGAGUUAUUUUCACUUGUAUAGCUCUUAUGCUAUCAACUGUGAUACAAUGGACGAGUUCAAUCUGCAGCAAACGUGACCAGUAUAAUGAAGCUGAUCCCAAAAAAAUCACGCAGGUGAUUGUGGAGAAAGCCGAGCGAAGUGAUAAGAAAAAGUAUCUAGUUCCAGCUGAUUUGACUGUUGAGCAAUUUGUCUAUGUGAUCCGAAAGAGGAUCAAGUUUAGUGCAGAGAAAGCAAUCUUCAUUUUCGUGGAUAACUUCCUCCAACAGUCUCGAUGGGAUAUUAUAAGAAUUCACUAAAGAAGAAUGAACUUGAUGCGUUGAAUUGAUUUAAAGAAGACAUAGCAGAGAAGGUGGGCAGGGCAUCUGGCAUGGAGCUAAAAAAGGUUUGUUAUCACCUCUUUUCUUUUUUGAUGAAUUUGUUGUUGUUAUUAUUUUGACUAAAAGACAAACUAACAGACUAAGAUUCAUAAAAUUUAACCAAGAAUGAUGUUAAUGUGCACUUUCACUUAGUUGUUUCAUUGAUGGCUUUUGUGAAUUGCUGUUAUCCUAAAUGUAUGUUUAGUCUGUUAAUGGGAUGUUUGGAAGGGUCCGACUGGUGUUUCGUUUUUUGAAAUGAAUGCAGUAUAUAUGUUCUCGAAGUCGAUUAAAGGUGGUUUGUUAGGGGAGAACAUCAUAUGUUGAACUUUACCACCAGAAAACCAAUGCGUACCAAGUAAUUACUCUGUAGAGUUUUCUUUGAUUCUAUAUGGUCUGAAUCAAAAUUAAAUUAUAGUGUCAAGUUUUAAUCUUGUUGAUAAACUUUGUCGAACUUUUCAAUCAAGUGAUUAUUGUAAUGUCUUGUACAUGCUUCAAACCUUGUUAUGUAAAUUUGUUCUUCUAUGGUCGUA